AAUCCAUGUUGUGGGCAUGAGCUGACAAGAUCCUUGAACCGUUCCCAACAUCAGAAGAAGGUCUCAUCUUCCUUUUGGGUGAAGUUCAUGAUCAGCUUCCUUAUGGU